rnacentral:rRNA from 1 species
AUGAUUCCAGGACCUGGAAUCAUACCAGCCGAUGGUUUGAAGCACUCCUCUGGUUUGAAGGAUAGAUACCUUCCUGUACCAUAUAACUGGAAUUACCGAUGCAAGUCGAAGAAGGAUUGGCCCGUGCUGCCGGCUGGCGUCAAGUUCGAUCCCACGGAUCAGGAGCUGAUCGAGCACCUUGAGGCCAAAGUGAGUGCUGACAGCACGAGAUUUCAGUCUCUCAUCGAUUUGUUCAUACCAACCAUCGACAGUGAGCACGACAUAUGUUACACCCAACCUGAGAAACUUCCAGGUAUCACACUGAGUGGCCUAAGGAAGCAUUUCUUCCAGCACAAUUCCAGGGCGUUCAAAACGGGCGCGUGGACACGUCGCAAGAUACAGUCGGAGUGCGGCAUGCACGCGAUGUGGCACAAGACCAGCAAUACCUUGCCGGUGAUGGUCAACAGCCGGCAAACGAGCAGCAAAAAAGGUUAUGGUGCUGCACACCAACAAGAACUUCGACCAGCAGAGGACCAACUGGGUGAUGCACCAGUACCACCUCGGGGACCUGGAGAAAGAGAAGGAGCGGGAGCUGGUCCUCUACAAGAUUUUCUACCAGACGAACACUAG